AAACGUGGGAUUGACAGCUGAUCGUGAGUCUCAGAAUACCGCGGAAGAUUUCGUGUGUUGUUCGAGUUGUUGAUGAUGGCUUCUCUAGAAAGACUUAUUAGAGCCCUUGAACAAUUGCAGAUUGUAGAAAAUUCAAAUUCUGAUAACCAUGUAAAGAAAAAAGAACUGAGAACACAUCUACAAAACAUUGUUGAAUUUAACAAUAGUCUUAACGUUCAAAACCACAAAGAUUUUGUCUCGUACAUCGGUCCGAGUAUUGAUUCCCUCAUUAGACUGUGUGAUUCCAAGGAUUCUGACAUUCGACUAGCAAGUGAUGAAGGAUUGUAUAAAGUCAUCAAGGCACUUCUUCCAUUGCAUAGUAACAGGAUUCUAGUAGAAUUAUGCAAGCAGAUAAAAAAAAGUGAAUCUCCUCGUAUAUUGAAGUUGUCUAUGACUAGAUUUGCCGAACUUUGCCAUCUAGCUCGGCCUCAGAAAAGACGUGCAUACAUAGCAAAUCUUUUUAAUGCCAUAUCAACAAUUGCCAAUCGCAAGGAAGAGAUGCUUCAUGAAAGCUUGUCUAAUUUUGUUUGCAAAGUCUUUAAUGUUAUGGGAAUAUUUGCUUAUGAAAAUGAAACAAAGAUUCUGUUAAAAGGAUUUCUAGCAAAUUUAUCUUCUAGUUCUUCUAUUAUAAGAAGAUGUGCAGCCAAUGCCAUCACAGUAAUAAUAUCUACAAACAGAAAAAGUGAUAUUUUGUUGGCACUGGUUGUGGAAUAUUUAACAGAUCAAAUCCUUUUGCCUGAUGAUAUUUCCAUGACAGAUACACCAGUGAUUAUAGGAACUUUGCUAACUCUAAAAUUGCUUCUUCCUCUUUUUCAAUUAUCAUCUAAUCAAACAAAUGAAAAUUUGAAUACUAAACACCUGUCAGUUAGUCUUCCUAAAAUCACUACCAGCUUGAACGCCGUGGCUUUAGAACGUAUUGUUCAGAUAUUUGAGCUUGGAGUUCACUAUUCUUUCUCUUCGGAUCAUAAUGUUGUUAACGCAGCGUUAGAACUCCUACAACAAUUGCUGAAGAUGCGGUCCCUUAUCCUAGCGAUUCCCUCCCUAAAAAGUGUAAAUGGAUUACAAGGGACUCGAAUUUCUCUAAGAGGAUUAUCCAAAGAAAACAGUCAGUGGAACUUGACUGCGCUUCCAGUUGCGGAAGAGUCUCUUCUCUUGGAGGCGGAAGUUCAUCUGGGCGAAUUCGAAAAGACGAGCAUGGAUUCAACUGAAAGUGACGUAGAAAUUGCAGAAGAUUCGAUUGCUGCACUUUCAGUCGACGAAAGAGAAGAUUUUUCAAAAAGUUUGACUUUAAACGAAACCGAUGUAUUGGCUUCAGAGAAAGAACUGGAAGAAACUGAUGUUGAGCCAGAAAACUGUGACGUCAUUGAUGCCCCACAGGCAAUCGACAUAGGAACGCUGUAUGAUAAAACAGUAUCCCCCCUUCUUUACUGCGCCCGCCAUUUAUCUUACAGUUUCUUGCUUUCCGAAAGAAAAGGCCAAAUCAAGUCGGAUCGAUCUGUUCGUGUUUCAGUAAAAAGUCUAGCCCUCAAUUGCUUGGCGCACAUUGGAUCACUGGAGCCUCUCAUUUGGAAUUCGCACUUAUCAGACACAGAUGGGAAAAUCGCGAUAAUUGAUGUUCUCCAGUAUAGCACACACGAUGACCCACAAUUAAGAGGGCAAGUGGCUCUGCUGGCGUGCAUGGUGCUCAGCAAUGUAAUUGGUGGAUUUGAUUUAACCAGCGUUGAAAAAAGAACCCUCGUUCGCAUCAUUGAUGAAACUCUAAUUGAUAAAGAGACAGCUGCUUCUCGCCUUGCUCUUCAAGGUCUACAGCACUUCCUACCUAUGGCCUUAGAAGGCCCAUUUUGCGUGGAAACUGUACCGCUUUUACGUUCAUUGUUAAAACUCUCGGAAAAUCCUUAUUGGCUGGUAAGAGUAGAUCUCUUAGAAGUGUUUGGUUCGUUUUCCUGGACAGCCUUGGAAUUUGGGCUCCAGAAUCAAACAAAUUUCAAAUUGCCGAAGUUCCAAGAGUGUUUCCUAAAUAAAUUUUUAUUUACAAUGAUCGGCGACGAAGAUCAUCGAGUCCGAAGCGCGGUAGCAAAUUGUCUUACUUGCUUGAUGGAGUCAUGGACUGUAGGAAGAAGUCCUUCAAAUAUUACUCGCGCUAAAUGGUUGGCAUCUGUCAGUGGUUCAACUCCACAAAAACUGCAUGUAAAGACUUUUGCUGGUGUCCCCCUAUCUAUCAAUGGAUUGGCAGAAGCCUAUUGGGAUGUUUCAUUGAACCAGAACGUCUCUGUCAACUUAGCUUAUUUUGUCGAUGAGAUAUUUCAACUACUUGUUUCUUCCAAUUCAAAGUUUGUCAAGAUGGGCUGCCUGCAAAGUUUGUCUACCUUGAGCUGUUCUUAUCCUCCCGCUACGUACUUGGAAGUUUACGGCUGUAGCUCAAAAGGAAAUUGCAGUCUCUUGAAAGUAUGCAUGGCACUCCUGACAAACUCUACGUUGAUGUUGGAUCUAGUAACACACCAGACCCUAAUCACACUUGCCACUCAGCUCUUUGCAGGAUGUGUGAAAGCAGGUUUAAACGAACCCCAAUUAGAGAAAGAUUUUAAAGAUUGGCGUUUUCUAAAGGGCCCUUCGUCUGCUACGGCGUCUUGCCUAUUGGGUCAUGCUACCCGUAUAUUAAAUGCAUUCUGCUGUGUUCUUGAUGAUGUCAAUCCAUUACUGGUUUCAAUUAAAGUACCAUUGGUGACGCUUCCAAACCCGUCCGCGUUAAGUCCAAUACGUCGCAAACUUCGAAGCACUGAAAGUUUAAUCUCAGAUAAAGAAGAUAAGUCAGAUGAGUCCGGCCGUAAGAACAAACCACAUUUGCUUAAUCCAAGUAAUGUCGGGUUUUUUGCUGCUCAACCUCUCUACGUGAAACUUUACGAUUUACUGAAGAGUACGCACGCCACUUGCAAACUGAAUUUUGAUACGAUUACCUCGGAACGCUUGUCGAAUUUUAUCCAAUCUACUUUGGAAUUGCUAGCCGCUCUAAUUGAAGUUUCCAUUUUCCAAGAUAUUGGAAAACACAGCGAGGAGAUUCUCAAUUAUUUACGCAUCAUUAUUACAGCUGAACCAGUCUACUGUUUGCGCAACGUUCAACAGUUACUUAAAGCGCUUUUUGGAGCCAAUUUAGCAGCUGUCUGGUUUGACGAAGCAGCCCGAUUUAAAAGAAGCGCAAUUUCUUCAAGUUUGCAACCAACAGUGAAAUGUGACGAGAGCAUUUACUCGAGUUGUGGAUUAGAUGAAUUAUUGUAUAACAGUGCUGGACGUCAAAUGAAUUUCAACCGAAACAAUGAAAGGCCAAAUCUGAUAACCAAAUUUCGAACUUCUAUAAACAAAAUUGGCCCUGAUAAAACUGCCUUGACUUCUUAUAUUCGCUUAUUUGAGCCGAUGGUCAUCAAGGCCUUGAAGUUGUACACCGUCACAAGCUGUCCACUAGUUCAAAAGCAAGUUUUGGAUCUUCUUUGCGAAUUGAUCCAUCUUUGCGUCAACUACUGCCUUCUCGAUGCCGACCAGGUUUUUCUCAAUUUUGUCAUCCAACAGUUUGAGUUUCUAGAAGAAGGUUUCAUACCGCAAGUCGAAACUCUGUUGCCCUCCAUGUUUCGAUUUUUGUCACUAUUAUCGUAUGAUCGCUUCCAUUCAAAAACUAUUAUUUCUGUCCCACGCAUUAUGCAGCUUGCUGGUGGAUUAAUGGCUACUGGAAAGGAUGCUGAACUGCACGUGCUUCCCACAUUGCAACCAAUGGUCGAAGAUUUGUUUCUUUCAAGAGAAAGAAUGAGUGAUAACUUUAAGGAACUUGAAACUCAGAAAGAAGUCCUUAUAAAUUUACUCAUUCGGUUAAUUCAGUAUCACAAGGUUUACCCUUUGAUAACUGCUGUAUUACUUCAAGUGCAGUUUGAAAAUGCGAACAAAUGGAAAUCCCUCUCGAAGCAAAUUUGUGAUGCACUCAUCCCGCAACUCAAUAGGCAUUCGCUAUUUUUGGAUUCAGACGAAGCCCUCCAAAUGCUUCAAAAGCUGAUUUCUCAUAUGGAUCCACCUGUUGUGCAUGAGUCUCUACUAGGGCUUUUGCAGACAUUUACCCCUAAGCAAUCGGAGGAUUUCAAUACUUCAGCAGCUAUGAACUACCAUCGUGUAUUGGCCUGCCGUUUAACGGUUUUCAAAACCUUGAUUGCUGUUUUUGAUGAAGCUUUCUUGUUGGACUGUUUAAAUGAAUUUAACCUAAGUUAUUUGGUCAAUCAGAGAAGUGACCCGUUAAAUGUAACGCCUACUGAGAAUUCACCGCCUGAACACAUCUUGUCAUGUUUGCUGGUUGACACUAUUAAGUUAGCUCUAAGUCAUUGGAAAAGUAAAGUGGUUGUUGAUAAUUGUGGCUCUACCUCCAUAUCGUGGAGAAUUGAUGGUUUCUCAUUUUCCGUCCAUUUAGUACUGGACUUGAUUGCCUUGUGUCGUCGCUUAUUAAACUCAAAUGAUUUCCCAGUGCUGCAGACCGCCAUUCUUGCAGAAUUGGCGCGUGACGAGUGUAAGUCUCCUCUAUUUCAAGUAGCAAGGGAAUUGAUUCCCAAUAAUCCGAUAGUUUUUGUGCGGAUUUGCGCUUUGUUAUUGUCGGAAAAUUAUCACAUCCAAUCCGAAAAUAUUGCUUCUUUUGGUGGACUUAACGGAAGUAUUGCGCAAGAAGGACUUUUUCUAUUGCUCUCCGGUGUGGUGCCUAAAGAAGAAAAAAAAAUCUUGAAGUUCGUUAGCUUGUAUGCAGACCAAAUCUUAAAUCACUUCAAUGAAACACCUGUGAAGAAGUUUUUUGGAAGCCUUAUUCAUAAUGAUGAGAAAUACGUUCAACCACUUGUGAAGUGUGUGCUGGCGAAAGGCCAAGAUUUAUUGCAGAUAUCCUCGGCCAUGGCUCUUUUGAAUAUAAUAGAGAAUGUCGAGCUUGUUGCGAAUUCGGAAGCGAUUCUUUUACAUAUCAUUUCCAGUUUUCAGACAAUUUCCAGUGGCAUUGUGCACAGAAGAAUGUGCAAACUUGUUCUAAACGCAAAUUUCACUUCUUCUGAAUCUAAGCUUCGUUGUUUGGAAAAUGUACAAAAAAUCGUUCUUCAGUCAGCUAAUCAAAGAUGGUAUUCCGAGAUCACAGCAGUUCCAAGCGCUACCUUUGAAAAUAGGUCUAGCAUGUUGCGAGAUAUCGACAAGGCGUUUGUGCUGGAUUUUGCGUUGAAAAGGGAGUUAGAACCUUUAAUGUGGAGAGAAAUCGUCGCUCAGACAAACACAGACGACUUUCCGUUAUUGUGCAGCAAUCAUAGUUUCCUUUUAUAUGUCCUUGGAAGUCGAAUAUUGAAAUAUGAUGCUUUUUACCAUGCCAAGGCAUACCUUUUAAAUAUGAUUACCGCCGAAGCCUUCGACAACUCUAAGAUCCUGUCAAUCGCUCAUAUUCUCAGUGCAUUGUGCAAAUCCAUCUCACCAUCGGAGGUCAACGAUAUUUUCACUGCAUCCGAAAUCACCAUAUUGGCUAAAACACCGCUUACCUUAAUUGGUGCGAUGGAUUCGCUUUCCCAUUCGUUAGUUCUUCUACAGGCGUCCUCUGAGAUUGUUUCCAUAUUUGGGCGUGAACUUGCAAUUGAAUGGACAGACAAAGAGAAUCUACCGGCUGUUUACAAGGCAAUCCAUUGUUUGGAGUCUCUUUGCAUUCGGAUAAGAAACAAUGCAACUCUAGAACAACCUACUAUUACCGGCCUGGAGCAAAUGAUUUGUCCUGAUCCAAACUUUGUUUCGAGUGCGAAACAAUUAAACCGAAUACUUAGAUUUAUCGAACAAGAAUCAAACAUUCCAGGAAUACUUCAUCAAGACUUACUGUCGACUGUUACUGUGUUUUGUCGAAUGCCACUCUUCUAUUCCUAUAUUUGCAUUCCGCCAUCCGCUUGGAGCAAAGGCUGGAAUCCUGAGCUAAAUUUGGAUGUCGAACAUAUCACAUUGGAUCUACCAAUAAUCCCUUCACAUUUUCUGCAUGAUGAAGUUGUUUUAAAAGAAUUCGUUUUCCGAAUCGAGCAAAUUAGCUGGAUUACCAAAAAGAAAUUUGAAGAAAUUUGGAUGACUUUUCUUGGCAUUUUGAACUUACACAAUGAGGAUCAAGUGAGACCCGAAGAACAAGCAAGCGUCAUCCAGGCUACAUGUGAAGCCGUGCGAGCUCUUACAAUGGUGCUUCAAAAAAAUCUACCAUUUAAGACGCCAAGAUCUGUGAAAAAUAAUGAACUAGACAAGCCUCCUGAGUUCACGUCAACUGAUUCGCUUCUUAGUGGAUCUCUACUCACAGUGGCUUCAGAAUUCGAAUACGCCGUACCCGCUGCUAGUGGACUUGUUUCAAUCCCUAGUGCACAUAUCAAACUUCUUUGUCGAUGUUCAACAGUUUGAGUGGAUGCUGGAUAACUCCUUAACCUUACACAGGCAACUUCUUCCUGAUGAUCCUGCGAGCUUAGAGUCCGCUUUAGUAGGGUGCAUCUUGAAAUCUGCUUCUUUUAUACCCAUGAAUAUGGAAUACUGGGAAUUAGUAAAAAAGCACUGUGAAACCGCAUUGAAUUCCCAGCAUAUUUCCACGCGAACUAGUGGAUUAAAUGGUCUUUUGUAUCUACUUCAAAAGUUUGCCAGAAAUCCAGAUCUUGCUCGUACAG
rnacentral:misc_RNA from 1 species